AAAGCCGAUUGGGAGAUC
rnacentral:snRNA from 1 species